rnacentral:rRNA from 1 species
GACAGAGGUCCCGAGCGUUAGGCGGAAUCACUGGGCUUAAAGCGUGUGUAGGCGGACUUCUAAGUACCUUGUGAAAUCCCACGGCUUAACCGUGGAACGGCUGGGUAUACUGGUUGUCUUUGGGGCCAUCUAGGGGGCUACUGGAACAAACGGUGGAGCGGUGAAAUGCGUAGAUAUCGUAAGGAAGACCAGUGGCGAAGGCGGGUCUCUGGACAGUUCCUGACGCUGAGGCACGAAGGCCAGGGGAGCAAACGGGGG